GACGAACGUUGGCGGCGUGCUUAACACAUGCAAGUCGAACGGAAAGGCCCUGCUUUUGUGGGGUGCUCGAGUGGCGAACGGGUGAGUAACACGUGAGUAACCUGCCCUUGACUUUGGGAUAACUUCAGGAAACUGGGGCUAAUACCGGAUAGGAGCUCCUGCUGCAUGGUGGGGGUUGGAAAGUUUCGGCGGUUGGGGAUGGACUCGCGGCUUAUCAGCUUGUUGGUGGGGUAGUGGCUUACCAAGGCUUUGACGGGUAGCCGGCCUGAGAGGGUGACCGGCCACAUUGGGACUGAGAUACGGCCCAGACUCCUACGGGAGGCAGCAGUGGGGAAUAUUGCACAAUGGGCGGAAGCCUGAUGCAGCAACGCCGCGUGCGGGAUGACGGCCUUCGGGUUGUAAACCGCUUUCGCCUGUGACGAAGCGUGAGUGACGGUAAUGGGUAAAGAAGCACCGGCUAACUACGUGCCAGCAGCCGCGGUGAUACGUAGGGUGCGAGCGUUGUCCGGAUUUAUUGGGCGUAAAGGGCUCGUAGGUGGUUGAUCGCGUCGGAAGUGUAAUCUUGGGGCUUAACCCUGAGCGUGCUUUCGAUACGGGUUGACUUGAGGAAGGGUAGGGGAGAAUGGAAUUCCUGGUGGAGCGGUGGAAUGCGCAGAUAUCAGGAGGAACACCAGUGGCGAAGGCGGUUCUCUGGGCCUUUCCUGACGCUGAGGAGCGAAAGCGUGGGGAGCGAACAGGCUUAGAUACCCUGGUAGUCCACGCUGUAAACGGUGGGUACUAGGUGUGGGGUCCAUUCCACGGGUUCCGUGCCGUAGCUAACGCUUUAAGUACCCCGCCUGGGGAGUACGGCCGCAAGGCUAAAACUCAAAGGAAUUGACGGGGCCCCGCACAAGCGGCGGAGCAUGCGGAUUAAUUCGAUGCAACGCGUAGAACCUUACCUGGGUUUGACAUGGAUCGGGAGUGCUCAGAGAUGGGUGUGCCUCUUUUGGGGUCGGUUCACAGGUGGUGCAUGGCUGUCGUCAGCUCGUGUCGUGAGAUGUUGGGUUAAGUCCCGCAACGAGCGCAACCCUUGUUCACUGUUGCCAGCACGUUAUGGUGGGGACUCAGUGGAGACCGCCGGGGUCAACUCGGAGGAAGGUGGGGAUGACGUCAAGUCAUCAUGCCCCUUAUGUCCAGGGCUUCACGCAUGCUACAAUGGCUGGUACAGAGAGUGGCGAGCCUGUGAGGGUGAGCGAAUCUCGGAAAGCCGGUCUCAGUUCGGAUUGGGGUCUGCAACUCGACCUCAUGAAGUCGGAGUCGCUAGUAAUCGCAGAUCAGCAACGCUGCGGUGAAUACGUUCCCGGG
rnacentral:rRNA from 1 species